rnacentral:rRNA from 1 species
CGAGGGGGAUAACAGUUGGAAACGACUGCUAAUACCGCAUAACGUCUACGGACCAAACGGGGCUUUUAGCUCCGGCGCAAAGAGAGGCCCAAGUGAGAUUAGCUAGUUGGUGAGGUAAAGGCUCACCAAGGCGACGAUCUCUAGCUGUUCUGAGAGGAAGAUCAGCCACACUGGGACUGAGACACGGCCCAGACUCCUACGGGAGGCAGCAGUGGGGAAUAUUGCACAAUGGGGGAAACCCUGACGCAGCCAUGCCGCGUGUGUGAAGAAGGCCUUCGGGUUGUAAAGCACUUUCAGUUGUGAGGAAAGGCUGGUAGUUAAUACCUGCCAGCUGUGACGUUAACAACAGAAGAAGCACCGGCUAACUCCGUGCCAGCAGCCGCGGUAAUACGGAGGGUGCGAGCGUUAAUCGGAAUUACUGGGCGUAAAGCGGACGCAGGCGGUUUGUUAAGCUAGAUGUGAAAGCCCCGGGCUCAACCUGGGAUGGUCAUUUAGAACUGGCAGACUAGAGUCUUGGAGAGGGGAGUGGAAUUCCAGGUGUAGCGGUGAAAUGCGUAGAUAUCUGG